rnacentral:rRNA from 1 species
AAGCUCGUAGUUGAAUUUCGGGGUUCUACCGUUGGUCGGGCUAACCGGUCUGUACUAGCGUGUAGAAUUCUUACCUUCUGGGGAACCAUCAUGUUAUUAAUUUAGCGUGGUAGGAAACCAGGACCUUUACCUUGAAAAAAUUAGAGUGUUCAAAGCAGGCUUACGUCUGAAUACAUUAGCAUGGAAUAAUAAAAUAGGACGGUGGUCCUGUUUUGUUGGUUUCUGAAUCACCGUAAUGAUUAAUAGGGAUAGUUGGG